rnacentral:rRNA from 1 species
AACGAACGCUGGCGGCGUGCCUAACACAUGCAAGUCGAGCGCGAAAGGAGCAAUCCGAGUAGAGCGGCGCACGGGUGCGUAACACGUGGGUAAUCUGCCUCAAAGUCUGGAAUAACCUUCCGAAAGGUUGGCUAAUGCCGGAUAAGCUCACGGGGUCUUCGGACUCUGGGGGAAAAGGUGGCCUCUGUUUACAAGCUACCACUUUGAGAUGAGCCCGCGGCCCAUCAGCUAGUUGGCGGGGUAACGGCCCACCAAGGCAACGACGGGUAGCUGGUCUGAGAGGACGAUCAGCCACACUGGAACUGAGAAACGGUCCCGACUCCUACGGGGGGCAGCAGUGAGGAAUAUUGGGCAAUGGACGAAAGUCUGACCCAGCAACGCCGCGUGGAGGAUGAAGGUUUUUGGAUUGUAAACUCCUUUUGUGGGGGAAGAGUGAGGACGGUACCCCAAGAAUAAGUCACGGCUAACUACGUG